UGAAUCCUGAUGUGUACGUUAGUUUUACUAUCUGUUUUGACCGAACGCUGUAUGUUUAGGGAGUCCGGGUUUUUUGGACAGCGCACAUGCCCUUAGCGGGGACUUGCAACGCCUGAAGCAGGGCACCCACCUGCGAUGAGCGGGUUCAAAACAUAUAAUCUCACACGACGGCACGAUUGGGAUUCGC
rfam:Domibacillus antri strain XD80 WGS_contig_8, whole genome shotgun sequence.